UUCCGAUAAAGUCAGCGUAGUCUACUGCUUCAUCAGAGCUUUUUAAUGAGAUUGAUUUGGUAUUUACAGUAUAAAAACUGAGAUUUGGUUUCAACGUUUGAUUUUCUAAGAUACGAACAAUACCUCUCUCUACAAAGAUUUCUGCAGGAGCCAAAGGUCUAAAUGACAAUAGGAUGGAGAAGUAACUAAUAGGUCUGAAGUGCCGAGGUCAUCACCACCAUCACAAUAAUCUUGGUAGGGGCUGCAGAGAGAGCUGAGUAGCUAGCACUGUUCCUCCAGAGGGCCAGGGACCAGUCUCCAGCAUUCAUCUGGCACCCUCGAAACUGCGUGUAACUCCAGUCUCACGAGCUCCAGUGGCCUCUUCUAACCUCUCUGGGUACCUGUACAUGCAUGGUAUACAUGUGCGCACGUGUCACACACACACACACACACACACACACACACACACACACGCUGAAAAGAAUUUUUAAAAAGCUGAUCUGGUGUGGGGGUGGGGGCUGGAGAGAUGGCUCAGUAGUUAAGAACAUUGACUGCUCUUCCAGAGAUCCUGAGUUCAAUUCCCAGCAACCACAUUGUGGCUCACAACCAUCUCAUAGUGGGAUCAGAUGCCCUCUUCUUGUGUGUCUGAAGACAGCAACACUGUACUUAUAUACAUAAAAUAAAAUAAGUCUUUAAAAAAAAAACCUGAUCUGGGAAAAUGUUACAUACUUGUUAGCUGUUGCUAUAACCCUCAGAUAUCCACUUCAGGAGGAAUCCUUUAUUGCUUUUUCCUAUAUUAUUUGAGAAAGACUGUUUCAGGUUUCCUAACAAUGAUUAAGUCUCUCAAAAGUCCUGAGUUCUUCUGUUUGAUGAGUUCAUGAACUCUGGUCCCCACAGUGGUGUCAAAGCCUGUCCUCCAUCCACCAAGGACACUCAAGGGGACAGGACUCCAGAGGACUCAACACUUGGAGAUCACACUUGGGGAACACUGCCUGGCCUCCCACCCACACCCUGGUUGUUUUGUAUUUAAACCCAGCUGGGCUUGGCUCAGUCACAAAGGCAGAUGACCUCUUAUGACCGCAUUAUGAGGACAAUCUUAGAGAACCACCUUGAAUUCUUAGAACCCCUAGAGGAUUUCUGACUAUACUUUCAGUACUGGUUUGCUAGAAUGGUCGCUCUUUUUUGGUCCUUUACGCUUUUUCUCUUUUGAGACAGAGUAUUUCUACAUCGUACUAGCUGUCUGGGAUACCAUAUAAGCCUCUAACUCAGAGAUUGACUUGCCUCUCUCUCCUUCAGUGCUGGGAUUAUUUUUUGGGGAAAAGUGUCUCAAGCAGACCAGGUAGACCAAGCAGACCAGGCAGAAGAUGAGCCUCUUGUCUGGAUGUCAAGUGCUGUAAUUAGAAGUGUGCCUCACAUUUGGCUUGUCGUCGUCAUCAUCAUCAUCAUCAUCAUUGUCAUCAUUGUGUUUUUUUCAAGAAACUUCUCUCUGUAGCCAUAGCUGUUUUGGAACUCACAAUGUGGACCAGGCUGGCCUUGAACUCAUGGGCCUGCCUGCCUCUGCUCUCCAAGUGCUGGGAUUAAAGUUCCCUUCCCAGGUGGUUGGUUCUGCUGGCCGAUGCUUAAAGGCGAGUUAAGGGUUUUACCUCCUCUGGACCCUCCUUGGCUCUCUUUUGGAAUAGAAACCUUUCUCUGUGGUAAGAAAGAUUAUAAUUUAAAAUAUGUGCACUUACUAAUACCAUGGCAAUGUGGGAAAGGCAAAAAUCUGGAGAUUAUAAAGGCCAAUGACCUCCAGUGGCUCUGGGGGAAGGAAAAUGGGGAGUUAGGGCAUCUUCAGGUCAGUGAAAUCUGAGUGGUAGACACAUGCCGUAAGGCAUGGAAGACUGAUUGUAAUUGUGUGUGUACAUGAGUGAAGGUGCCUGUGGACACCAAAGGUAUCAGACACCUGAGCUGGAGUUAUAGAUGGCUGUGACCCAUCCAGUCUGAGUGCUGGGGACUGCACUUGGGUGCUUUUGACCACUGAACUAUCUCCCUUGGGUCCACAAUAGGCAUUUCAUGCAAGUUACUAACCAUGGAAGUGUGUGUCCAAGCUACAGACCGUGUGUGGUAGUUCAGUGAGUGUAGGGUCAGAUUAUAACAUGUGCAUGCUCUGCACUGGUAAAAACACCAAUGGUAGGGAAGCAUGCAUGUGUGCAUGUUCGUGUGUGUCGGUGUGUGGUGGUGGUGAGGACACGGAUUUGAAACUGCUAUAAAAUUACACUUGAUCAAAAAAAAGUGUGUGCUACCAUCACUUACUAAUAGUAUAUAGAUUUUGGGAUUUUUUUUGGGGGUGGUGGGAGGGUGAGUAUAGGGUUACUGGGGCUGGAGAGAUGGCUCAGAGGUUAAGAGCACUGACUGCUCUUCCAGAGGUCCUGAGUUCAAAUCCCAGCAACCACAUGGUGGCUCACAACCAUCAGUAAUGGGACCUGAUGCCCUCUUCUGGUGUGUCUGAAGACAGUGACAACGUACUCAUAUAAAGUAAAUAAAUCCUAAAGAAGAAAAAAGGAAGGAAAGAAAGAAAAAAAGAAAAAAGGAGGUUUCUCUGUGUAGCCCUGCUGGCCUGGAACUCACUCUGUAGAUGAGGCUGGCAGAGAUCACCUGCCUCUGCCUCCUGAGUGCUGGGAUAAAGGAGUGCGCCACCGCCACACUGCCUGGUACAUUAGUUUUGUUUUUUUUUUUUUUUUUCUUUUUUUCAGAGCUGGAGACCGAACCCAGGGUCCCACUGAGCUAAAUCCCCAACCCCCAUUCGUUUUUUUAAGGGACAGAAUGCACAAUACUAAACACCCACCCAUACCCUGGAUGGUGUGAAACCCUUCUAGAAAGAGUGGCUAAGCAUUCACACAAGUUUCCUAUUGCUUAGAUGACAAUAACUCACUCAGCAGCUACCCAACCAUAUAGACAGCUGUGUGAAGGACAACUGGGGUGUCCACUGCUGUGGAGAGCAAGCCACAUUAGGGCGGUGGUGUUUUGAGAAUGAACUGAUAAAUGCUGCGGGUGUGAGCCCAGCAACAUUUUCUGUCCUUGUCUGUCAGGCAGCCACCAGGUUGUCCUAAGUCAAAACUGAGGACUUCAAAGUAGCAAAGAAAGGUAGAAACUUGAUACACAAUACACACCCAGGUCUGAGUGGGUAGGAAUGGUAAUAGACAAACCGCAUUUUAGUUUUGUGACAGGUUACCCGUUGAACUUCAGCAGCAUGAGGUGUGGCUGGUGCAUCAGCCCCGUACCCUCCUGGUCACUGUCAUCACCGGUGACAGUGUCAGCAUCACUGGAAUAUAGUCUGGGAUUCACACUGGUUUCAUUUACUAGCUCAUCUUGGACUCAAAUUUGUUGACAGCUCUUUAAAAACGCAACGUCUGGACGUCUGGCUUUGCUUUAAUGGAGAGCAGGUGGCACUCGUCUACAGACAAGUGCUGUACUGUUCCCAUCUGGGGCAAAACAAUUGCACAAGAGCUCCUUUUCCAACAGAUUCACAGAGCCAAAUAGAGUUGGUAUUAGUGUCCCCAUAAUGUACCAUGGAGAUGCCAACUGAUUUAAGUUGAAAAAAAUGUAUUUAAGGAUUUUAGUACCAGAAAUUAUGAGCCCAAGUUAAACCACUGCAGAAGAGAAGCCAGAAACACACGAGGGCACGGCUAAGGUCAUUGGAUUAAAAAAAUGAACCAGGUUAGCAUCCUUAACUCUUCUGGUAGCCUGGGCUUGUGCUGUGGCUGCUCCUGGCUGUCCUCUCCAACACAUGAGGUAGGGUGAAUGAACUGUUUGUGGCUGACUGACAAGAACACACAGAACAUGUGGGGCACUUGGACAAUCUGACCUAGCUGGCUGUGUUUGGUCCUUGGAUGGCCAGAGCUUUUUCUCACUGGGAACAACAGGACAUGAUUAACUGCCAGGGGCCAGCCAGGAGCAGCCUCUGUGGCUUCCUAAAAUAAGUAGCAAAAGCCAGAGGCCAGGGUGUAUAAACUGGGUCAAGAUG